rnacentral:rRNA from 1 species
GGCUCACCAAGGCGACGACGGGUAGCCGGCCUGAGAGGUGACCGGCCACACUGGGACUGAGACACGGCCCAGACUCCUACGGGAGGCAGCAGUGGGAAUAUUGCACAAUGGGCGCAAGCCUGAUGCAGCGACGCCGCGUGAGGGAUGACGGCCUUCGGGUUGUAACCUCUUUCAGUAGGGAAGAAGCGAAAGUGACGGUACCUGCAGAAGAAGCACCGGCUAACUACGUGCCAGCAGCCGCGGUAAUACGUAGGGUGCGAGCGUUAUCCGGAAUUAUUGGGCGUAAAGAGCUCGUAGGCGGUUUGUCGCGUCUGUCGUGAAAGUCCGGGGCUUAACCCCGGAUCUGCGGUGGGUACGGGCAGACUAGAGUGCAGUAGGGGAGACUGGAAUUCCUGGUGUAGCGGUGGAAUGCGCAGAUAUCAGGAGGAACACCGAUGGCGAAGGCAGGUCUCUGGGCUGUAACUGACGCUGAGGAGCGAAAGCAUGGGGAGCGAACAGGAUUAGAUACCCUGGUAGUCCAUGCCGUAAACGUUGGGCACUAGGUGUGGGGACCAUUCCACGGUUUCCGCGCCGCAGCUAACGCAUUAAGUGCCCCGCCUGGGGAGUACGGCCGCAAGGCUAAAACUCAAAGGAAUUGACGGGGGCCCGCACAAGCGGCGGAGCAUGCGGAUUAAUUCGAUGCAACGCGAAGAACCUUACCAAGGCUUGACAUGUUCUCGAUCGCCGUAGAGAUACGGUUUCCCCUUUGGGGCGGGUUCACAGGUGGUGCAUGGUUGUCGUCAGCUCGUGUCGUGAGAUGUUGGGUUAAGUCCCGCAACGAGCGCAACCCUCGUUCCAUGUUGCCAGCACGUAAUGGUGGGGACUCAUGGGAGACUGCCGGGGUCAACUCGGAGGAAGGUGAGGACGACGUCAAAUCAUCAUGCCCCUUAUGUCUUGGGCUUCACGCAUGCUACAAUGGCCGGUACAAUGGGUUGCGAUACUGUGAGGUGGAGCUAAUCCCAAAAAGCCGGUCUCAGUUCGGAUUGGGGUCUGCAACUCGACCCCAUGAAGUCGGAGUCGCUAGUAAUCGCAGAUCAGCAACGCUGCGGUGAAUACGUUCCCGGGCCUUGUACACACCGCCCGUCAAGUCACGAAAGUUGGUAACACCCGAAGCCGGUGGCCUAACCCUUGUGGGGGAGCGCGUCGA